rnacentral:rRNA from 1 species
AGAUACCCUGGUAGUCCACGCCCUAAACGAUGUCUACUAGUUGUCGGGUCUUAAUUGACUUGGUAACGCAGCUAACGCGUGAAGUAGACCGCCUGGGGAGUACGGUCGCAAGAUUAAAACUCAAAGGAAUUGACGGGGACCCGCACAAGCGGUGGAUGAUGUGGAUUAAUUCGAUGCAACGCGAAAAACCUUACCUACCCUUGACAUGUACAGAAUCCCGAAGAGAUUUGGGAGUGUUCGAAAGAAAACUGUAACACAGGUGCUGCAUGGCUGUCGUCAGCUCGUGUCGUGAGAUGUUGGGUUAAGUCCCGCAACGAGCGCAACCCUUGUCAUUAGUUGCUACGAAAGGGCACUCUAAUGAGACUGCCGGUGACAAACCGGAGGAAGGUGGGGAUGACGUCAAGUCCUCAUGGCCCUUAUGGGUAGGGCUUCACACGUCAUACAAUGGUACAUACAGAGGGCCCCCAACCCGCGAGGGGGAGCUAAUCCCAGAAAGUGUAUCGUAGUCCGGAUUGUAGUCUGCAACUCGACUACAUGAAGUUGGAAUCGCUAGUAAUCGCGGAUCAGCAUGUCGCGGUGAAUACGUUCCCGGGUCUUGUACACACCGCCCGUCACACCAUGGGAGCGGGUUUUACCAGAACGUAGGUAGC